rnacentral:tRNA from 29 species
GGGGUGGAGCAGCCUGGUAGCUCGUCGGGCUCAUAACCCGAAGGUCGUCGGUUCAAAUCCGGCCCCC